GAGACAGCAGUCGCCGCGGUAAUACGAAGGGUGCAAGCGUUACUCGGAAUUACUGGGCGUAAAGCGUGCGUAGGUGGUGGUUUAAGUCCGUUGUGAAAGCCCUGGGCUCAACCUGGGAAUUACAGUGGAUACUGGGUCACUAGAGUGUGGUAGAGGAUAGUGGAAUUUCCGGUGUAGCAGUGAAAUGCGUAGAGAUCGGAAGGAACAUCUGUGGCGAAGGCGACUAUCUGGGCCAACACUGACACUGAGGCACGAAAGCGUGGGGAGCAAACAGGAUUAGAUACCCGCGUAGUCCCUGUCUCUUAUAC
rnacentral:rRNA from 1 species